UCCUGUGUAGAACAGUUGGUAGAGCAUGGUGCUAUCAAUGCCAUGGUUGUUAGUUCAAUUCCUAGAGGGG